AAGGAGUUUUCGGACAACGGAAGGUGAGGAAAGUGGCGGACGGGUGAGUAACGCGUGAGGAACCUGCCUUGGAGAGGGGGACAACAGCCGGAAACGGCUGCUAAUACCGCAUGAAGUAUUUGGUCCGCAUGGAUUGGAUACCAAAGAGGAAUCGCUCUGAGAUGGCCUCGCGUCUGAUUAGAUAGUUGGCGGGGUAACGGCCCACCAAGUCGACGAUCAGUAGCCGGACUGAGAGGUUGACCGGCCACAUUGGGACUGAGAAACGGCCCAGACUCCUACGGGAGGCAGCAGUGGGGAAUAUUGGGCAAUGGGCGCAAGCCUGACCCAGCAACGCCGCGUGAAGGAAGAAGGCUUUCGGGUUGUAAACUUCUUUUAAGGGGGAAGAGAAGAAGACGGUACCCCUUGAAU
rnacentral:rRNA from 1 species